rnacentral:lncRNA from 1 species
UAAUGUUAAGUAAGAGACUAAGUGUUAAAAUUUAAGUAGGGGACAGAAAAAAAAGGGACAAAGGAUUUGCUCUCCCUCUCCACAGUCUCAUUUAUAAAAUUUAUAAUUUUUUUAUAUUUAUUUCUAAAUAUAAUAAUCAUUUAAUUUAAUAAUAAUAACAUAAUAGUAAAAUUAUAUUAUAAUAUUUAUAAAUAUUAUAUUAUUUUAUAUUAUCAUCAAUAUAAAAUGAAGAACUCUUCUCUUAAAAUAUAGUUAUUUUAACAAACAAAUAUAGCAAUAAUUUUAUCUGUGUAUGUAUGUAUGUACGUCUCUGUGGCACCAAACAAGUAUAUAUUAUAUAUAUGUUACUCUUUUACCAACUAAUCCUAUUCCUUCGUCAUCUUGAUAGAGAUAUUAAUGCUUAUGCGUCCACAACUACUACUGUAUAUAGUUGCACCACAUAAUUAAGUCACUAUAAUUAUCGAUCUAAUCUAUAAAAAUAUAAAUUAUUGUAUGACCUUUAAUUAUGUGACACUUGUAGCAAAAUAAUAAGUACAAAAAUUAAGACACAUAGUCUUUACGUUUUAAAAUAUAAAAUUAAUAUUUAUUUUUUAAAAUUUAUUGGAGAUAUUCUUAAAUUUAAAUCAAUAUAAACUAAUUUAAUUUUAUAUGAUAUAAUUAUAAACUUUAUAAAUUAUUUAAAUAGUAAUAUCAACUAUAAAAUUUAUUAUUUAUAGAAUUAAGUUAAACGAGUCACAUAAAUUUUGAAAUUUGAAUAUAAAUAUAUCUCAUAUUGAUUUUAAAAGUCAAACUUAAUUCUAAAAUGAUGUUAAGGGUAUUAAAUUUUUUAUCUCAAAUAUUGUAUUACCAUAAUAAAUCUAACUGAUGCAUUAAUCAAACGUACACCCAAGAAAUAAUAAAAAAAAAUAUUAUAUUAUUUAUUCAUCCCAUGAUUCAUAUACUACCUAAUAUUCCACCACCAUCCCAGAAAUAAUUCCUUUUUAAAAUCCUUUAUGCAUAGUAGAAAUUGUCAGUAGUUUAAUUUCAAUUAUAUAUAUGCACUAGCUAGUAUUAAUAGGUUUUUUAUUGAAAAAAAAUAUCAACAAUACUAUCUUAAUUGUUAAGUGUUUCGGUUUUUGGUCAAGAGUAGAUGAGGGAGUAGAGGAGAUUUAAAUAUUAUGUGCAACUUAAAUUUUAAUUUUAUUUAAAAUAAUAGUCGAACUAGAAGAUAUUGUGUAAUUAUUUGAUAAAUUAAUAUAUAAUUUUAUAAGCUUCAUAAAAACUCUUUUUUCCACCUAGUAAUCAAGUUGUAUAUAAGUUAUAUCUUUAACCUAAUAAGGGUUUGUUCGGUUACCAUCAUUUACUUGCACUAAUUAAUUUUAAUGCGUUGCAUUUGAGAUCUAAAUGCUAGCUGUAUUUAUAAGUUAAAUAAAAUUUUUAAAUACGUUUGAACAUUUUAAAAACACACCAAACGCUGAAUAACCAAAUAAAUAUACACUAAAUACUAGCCAAUCCUUGGUCAGCUUGAUGGAGUUUAAUUAAUAUGGUGUUUGAUUGUAUCUUAAUGCAUCUUAAUAAUUCACUUCUUAAUGUAUUUUAAUAACCCACAUUUUUAUAUUAAGAGGUCCUCUGAAUAGUUUAGACUCAUAUUUGUAUCUUAGCUAUUUAGAGGACAUCUUAAUACAAAGAUGUGAGUUAUUAAAAUAUAUAAAGAGGUGAACUGUUAUAAUGCAUUAAGAUGUAAUCAAACAUUAUUAAGUCACCGUAUAUCGAUCGAUUAUUAAUUGGAUGACCUUUUAACAUGUGACAGUUGUGGCAGAAUAAUAUGUACACAAUACAAUUACAUCAUGUGUAAAUAAAUAUACAUUAUUUUAAAUAUUAAACUAGUGAAAACAUAUUAAUUAUAUGUCAACAUACGCAAAUCCUAAUUAAUUUAAUUUAUACAUCAUUCAACUAUAAAUUAAGAUAUAUAUUGCCAAAGACAUCGUAGUCUAAUGGUUAAUACGCAUGAUCUAGACCAUCUUAGUUUUUGGUCAAGCUGGGGAGAUCUAGAUGAAGGAGUAGAGUAGAGGAGAUUAUAUAUUUUGCAACUACUUUUAUAUUAUAUAUAUAUAUAUAUAUAUAUAUAUAUAUAUAUAUAUGGGAAAUGAUCCAUAACAAAUACUUGUUAUAGAGAAAAAUUGGGCAAAUAACAUCAUAUUCGUUCAUUCUAUAAAUUAAGAGUGCAGAUUAAAAAAUAACUUUGGCCUUACGCCAAUUCGUCUAAAGUAAAUUAGAAAUACUAUACCCACAUACGCCGGUUCGUCCUAGUUUAAAAAAAAAAAAUUGCCAGAAUUAAUUGUCAAUCCUCCACCGCUGACUACUCUGCGCACCAGAAUUAAUUGUCAAUCCUCCACCGCUGAGUCUUAAUUAAGAAAUUUACAACAUUAUUAUUAAUAUAUUUAUGAUAAAGUUGCAACAAAGUAGCGAAAAUUGGAAACCAGUUUAAUUGUUAUGGACCCACACCUCCAACUAUGGCAGA